UACGUAGGUGACCAGCGUUGUCCGGAUUUACUGGGCGUAAAGAGCGCGCAGGCGGUCGUUCAAGUCGAGUGUGAAAGCCCCCGGCUCAACUGGGGAGGGUCACUCGAUACUGAUCGACUUGAAGGCAGGAGAGGGAAGCGGAAUUCCCGGUGUAGUGGUGAAAUGCGUAGAUAUCGGAAGGAACGCCGGUGGCGAAAGCGACGUACUGGACCUCUUCUGACGCUGAGGCGCGAAAGCUAGGGGAGCAAACGGG
rnacentral:rRNA from 1 species